UGAUGCUUUGACGAUAAAUACUUAUUAAAAUUCAAAUUAUUUAUUUCUGCCUUGUAAAGGUACAGACAGCAGAGGCGCAGAAAAAGCUGUCAGAUACAGAUUGACAAAGCCGCAGCCCCCUUUCGCUUGGCAGAGCCUUCACAGCGACACUUUUAAAACAAAGACAAUUGCACCCGGUAAUAACAGGUAUACAAUACUGAGCAAGUACAAAAGGAAACCAAUCAAGAUUAUACGAUAUUUGUACAAUACUCCCAAACAAGAAAACAGAACCUACAUGCUAACGUACAUAGCACCCAAAGUACUGUUCGACACGUUGAAGAAGUCAAAAUUAUUGUUCACAUAAGGUAUAUACAUAUUCGUAUAGCGCUACCAAUCCCUGCAAAAUAUAGAACGCAGAUUUUCAUUACACACACGCACGCACGCACGUGCACAGCACACACACCAAAAGGAAACGGCAACGCGCUCACAGGAAGCGCCUGAAAAACGAAAAAAAAAAAGGAAAAGUGUGGGGAACCGAGGUCGUCUUGGGCUGUCGCCUCUCCCUCUCCCAGAAGGAAUGAAGAGGUUCUUGGAAAGCAGGGACGGGCGAUUCUCUCUGUCAGCAUCAGCUCCCACCAGCGAGGACGGGGCGAGAAAGCGAAACGGGACUUUCCUUGCUGUCUAUUUUUUCUUCGUCAGGCCAACGCCGCUUGCUUGCAGGGGCGCAGGCGAGUUCCCGCCAAAUGGCGCGGGUGCGUGAGUUGCCGCCAAAUGCUAGCUCUGGAUGCCAGCUCGUUCCGCGUCUCAUGGUAGACUAGUUGGUGCAUUUCUGUUAUCAUGGACUGCGCAUAUAAACGCAAGCUACACAAAAGUGACAUGGACAAGAACAGCGCAAGCCCUUUACAUGCAGUGGAGCCGCCGUAUCUCGCCGUUCAAGAUAUGCGUACUCGAAAAAAAAAAAAGGAGGCUUUACAUGAGAACGGAUCAAGCGUUCGAGAGUUGGGACAGGGAAAUGUGAGACGUACGUAUGUAUAUAUUUCUAAUAUUAUUUUUUCGUCUUGUAUUCUCGUUAAUUUUUCUCUAGGAAACACUGGAACGACACUGCUUAAAUUGAAGCACAGUGUGCGAAUGACCUGCUACGCUCGGAACUGUUAUCACCAUUCGGGAAGAAAUUGGGUAAGAAUGGAUUGUGUGUGGCGCGCUUCACCGCAUGUGGACUAGAGUAGAUCUAGGAACAUCAGACAAGAAGACACGUAUGUGAAACCCUGCGGAUAGCCCAUAUGUGAACUUUUUUUCCAGAUACGGAGGAACGGACACCGGUCAUGCCGUGCGCACUCUUCUGCAGGGCAUACUUACAAAUGAAGCUGCACUGCAGUUCAGCUGGAAAGGGUCGCAGGGGAGGAAGCACGCCUUCGUGAAGCUCAUGGCCAUCACGAAUAUAACAUCUGUGAGGAGCACGUUCCCUGACGCUUCACUAGCAUCAGUGGCUGGAGUCGCAAAACGCCGGUUGGUUGGAGCAGCUGACAGGGAUGGAGGCCGGAAUGAAAGAAGGCGCCGUGACCCUGCUUCAAGCCCACCAAAUAUGAACUAGUGUUUGAAACUUGUGAACGUGUCGGUGUACAUAUACAAUUACAAGAAAUAAAGACCUGUAUCAGAA